AUUAUACUCCCUCCGUUCCAAAUUACUCGUCGCAGAAAUGGAUGUAUCUAGAACUAAAAUACAUCUAGAUACAUCCAUUUUUGCGACGAGUAAUUCGGAACGGAGGGAGUACAAG
rnacentral:pre_miRNA from 1 species